GAAUCAUAAACAGUCAGAGUUUCAAUUCCUCUGACCUAUAGACAUUAACCAUGGGAAAAGUUACUAUAAAUAAACAAAAGAGAGCAAUAACAACCAAACAGAGGCCAGCCUGAUGCCCCAUGCCUCAGACCAUAAAGAUUGAUGACCUUCACGUACAUUACUUCCAUGACCCAAUUCUGACAUAGCAAAGCAACCCUUGAUUGCAUAAGUUUCAGUGUCCCUCAGCCACUUGUCAUGAUGGAGCUCUGUGCCAAAAAACUUGAUAGCACCACCCCACAAAAAGAAGUGAA
rnacentral:misc_RNA from 1 species